GCCCUGAGAGAGGGACACCAGGCCCUGGCCAGCAUUCCUUGGGCUUGCGAGGGCCAUGGUGGGUAGGGUGGCAUUCCCACAAGUCCUAUCCUGGGCUGUGUCCACCCAGUUUCCACUGAGGUACCCAGUCCAACCUCCCAGUGGGGCAACAGAAGCUGGGCAGUUUCCAACCUCGGUGAAGAAUAACAGGGCAGCCUUAACCUACCCAGCUGCAGUGCUCCUGUAAGAGGCUCAUGGCAGAUACAUGCCAAGAGGAUCUCCAAGGGCCCUUUCUCAGGGACGGAUUGGACAGCUAGUCCAUGCCUGCCUUCCUCUGUGGAGGGGAUGCCUUGAACUAUGUCCUGCCAGGCCCUCAUGGAUGGUGCAGGUGGCACACACAGCUCACCCUCCCUACAGUCCUGUUGCCCCUCUGUAUGGGCUCUUGCUCCAGCUGCAGAGAAGGAGCCUUAGUCAAGGGCAGCACAGAUCCUGAAUGGCAGGAGCCCUCUGGUGGGUGAGGAGGCUGCCAGAGACUAUUAGGAGCUGGUGGCCAAGGAUCAGGAUCCUUGGCCUGUGGAGACCUGGUGGCCCUUCAAUGUCCCUUUACUCUCUGCGGUUGGAAUGUGCCUGGCUUUCCAAAACCCCGGAAGUGGGAGUGUUUUCCAGGAAGACAUAGGCAGGGGCAGGACCAGGGAUGAUGGGAGCUGGGAGCUUGGGGACAGUGAUGGAUAUAGAGCACCUUUUCCUAGUAACUUCAGAUGGUGGUCCCUGGGGCCACAGAGAGGUCCUGCAGAUGCUGGAAUAGGCUCCCCAAAGCCCUAUGCCUGUGCCCCUCUGUGGGUCACAGCCCCUGGCUCCUAGCCUCACCCUGGCAAAAAGGAGGAAGCUCAGUCAAGCCUGGGGAAUAGGCCCUGCGGCUUGGGGCGUUGAUGUCAGUGCUGAGUUAGGCCUGGCCACGCGAGGCUCUGGAUUCAAUUAGCGGCUGCUGAGGGUUCUGGCAUGAGAAGGAAGGAGGUGAGCAAUGGGUCGCGGGGGCAGAGGAUGGUGGCAGCGGGCCUGGGUGGGGCCCCAUCUUCUUGAGCCAGCAGCGGCAGCCCAGGUGGAUUUCCUGUGGGCCUGGGUCUCAUUACUGGAACGGCUACGCUGAGGCCUAGCCCCCCACCUCGGCAGCCCAGUCAAAGGGGCCAUUGUGGGCCUGUGGGCUGCUGCUGAACACGGUGGCUGCUGAAUAAAUGUUUUCCCUGCAAAGCCAACCCUGGCCUCAUGGGCCAGCAGGGGGUGGGUGGGACCUAAAGAAAGGGGGCUGGUGUGAGCGCUCCCAGAAAAAGCACUGGGGGAUGAAGGGAGGAUCAGCCU